rnacentral:misc_RNA from 1 species
UCUCCGUUGGUGAACCAGCGGAGGGAUCAUUAUCGAGUUCAUAACUCCCAAACCCUAUGUGAACUUACCACUUGUUGCUUCGGCGCGCGCUUCGGCGCCGCCGAGGACACUUAAACUCUUUGUUUUUAUAAGCAUUUCUGAGUGGCCGAAAGGCAAAAUACAAAUGAAUCAAAACUUUCAACAACGGAUCUCUUGGUUCUG